AGUGAGAUCGGGGCUACUUCGAAAAGCAUCAGCCCAAGCCUGGAAAAAAAAAACAAAUCGGACAACUGUCAAGAAAUUUUGUUUCAGUCAGAAGCAGUAAGAAAAUAAAGCAGAACCAAAAGGAGGAAAAGGUUAGCAGCAUGAAGCCUGCAAAAUGCAGCCGGUUUUUCCACAACGGAAGUUUUCUCUACGUGUCCUGGACAGAACACGACUGCAGAAUGAAGGAACGUUUGUCUGAUAA